GACGAACGCUGGCGGCGUGCUUAACACAUGCAAGUCGAACGGAAAGGCCCUGCUUUUGUGGGGUUCUCGAGUGGCGAACGGGUGAGUAACACGUGAGUAACCUGCCCUUGACUGUGGGAUAACUUCAGGAAACUGGGGCUAAUACCGGAUAGGAUCUCCUGCUGCAUGGUGGGGGUUGGAAAGUUUCGGCGGUUGGGGAUGGACUCGCGGCUUAUCAGCUUGUUGGUGGGGUAGUGGCUUACCAAGGCUUUGACGGGUAGCCGGCCUGAGAGGGUGACCGGCCACAUUGGGACUGCGAUACGGAGCAGACUCCUACGGGCGGCAGCAGUGGGGAAUAUUGCACAAUGGGCGGACGCCUGAUGCAGAAACGCCGCGUGCGGGAUGACGGCCUUCGGGUUGUAAACAGAUUUCGAAUGUGACGAAGCGUGAGUGACGGUAAUGGGUAAAGAAGCAACGGCUAACUACGUG
rnacentral:rRNA from 1 species